rnacentral:tRNA from 4 species
GGGUGAUUAGCUCAGCUGGGAGAGCACCUCCCUUACAAGGAGGGGGUCGGCGGUUCGAUCCCGUCAUCACCCAUCA